rnacentral:rRNA from 1 species
AACAAACGCUGGCGGCGUGUCUUAAGCAUGCAAGUUGAGCGGCAAGGAGGAGAGAUCCUCCCUAGAGCGGCGGACUGGUGAGUAACGCGUGGGUAAUCUAUCUUAGGCAUGGGGAUAGUCACUAGAAAUAGUGGGUAAUACCGAAUAAGUUCCAUAAGGGGAGGACUUAUGGAAGAAAGGUGCUAUGACACUGGCCUUAGGUGAGCUCGCGUCCCAUUAGCUAGUUGGUGAGGUAAAGGCCCACCAAGGCGAUGAUGGGUAGCCGGCCUGAGAGGGUGUACGGCCACACUGGGACUGAGAUACGGCCCAGACUCCUACGGGAGGCAGCAGCUAAGAAUAUUCCGCAAUGGACGGAAGUCUGACGGAGCGACGCCGCGUGGAUGAAGAAGGCCGAAAGGUUGUAAAGUUCUUUUGCUAGGGGAGAAUAAGUGUGGGAGGGAAUGCCUGCACGAUGGACAAGGACUAAGCGAAUAAGUCCCGGCCAACUACGUGCCAGCAGCCG